AACAACAAACACCUCCAUAACCUCCACAGCACACAUUUCCCUGCUUCCACAGCGUGUCAACAGGGGGACAAAGCGUGUGUGAAAUUACAGCCGAGCCAACUCCACUUUCAGCACAUCUGCAGCAGCGGAGCGGCGUCCAAAUGACAUGAGAUCUGACUUCUAAGUUUUGCGAUCUGUGGUUCUUCCGGCAGAGAUGCCCAUUGCAUCUGGAGCUGCCGGCCGGAGGGAUGUGGGAGGAGACCCUGGCGGACAGCGGACGAAGACCAAACCUGCCAACAGGAACUGUGACUCCUACCUGCAACGCUAUCAGGAACUCCAAGAAAGAAAAAGAGACAAAAGCAACAUGAUGGGGGUGAGUACUGUGAUUCACUUGUGUUAGAGGCCGUGGGACACAAUGGGACUCGCAUGACUGAUGCAUUUAUUCCUUGCACAGGUCACAGAGGACCACACAGAGCCAUGCGAGGGCGAGGGUGAGGACACUGACUCUUUGAUAUUAUUGUGUAAACAUGCACGCAUUCACCCAGAGUUUUUAAUCCCUCUUUUAUUGGCCUGUAGCAGCGGGACAGAGUCCACAGAAAGAGAGCGGCAGUGAGGAUCACGCUCCAGAAGAACGAAGAUCCAAGACGUCUCGGCUGUGUGUCCUCCUUUAAGGGUGUUCAAUGAAUAGCCGUGCACACUCAAAGUUCUCAUGUAUUAUUUAAGUGCCAAGCCCGUGUGUCUCUUGUGUAUGUGCAUCACCUUAACAACUCUGUGGUGUUGGUUUAAACUUGACAAAAAGUCGCAACUGUGCGGGAAGUUUCCUUUUUGAAGAAAAUAGCUUCAAAGAAAGGUGUGCAUUAACAUGUGUGUACUCAUCAGUGCAAGUUCAAGGA